GAUAAUUUCAUCAGCAUUGUGAAGAUUUCUUCUGCGAAUCUACCGUUAACAUUCAAAUUUAAGAUAAACGACUUUAUGAAGAGAUUUGGAAAGAUUCCUCUUGGCAUAUCGAUUGGCGGAUUCUUCUACAUAAAACGGAAUUUCCCGAUAAGAGUAAUCAGUACUCUUUAUUCGAUAUUUUCUUCGUGUAUUGAAGUGAGCGGAAUUUUAAAGAAAGAAAAAAAUUGCACGGUCAAACAUGGAAAGAACAUGUUUCGUUUUCUCAGUUAAUGAAACUAAGUCGCAUUUCGAAGAAAUUUAACCAAUUGCUAUCUACAAAAGAGAUAAUGACUGAUCUUUUCGGACUGUAAGGAAAUGUUACUAACAAAUUUUAUGGAGCAUCAAAUAACGUUAGUUUACAGGUUUACCGUGAAACUCAAAGAAUAGCAAACUCGAAGUUUCGGCGAAAAGAUGAUAGAUAGCCCACCAGUAGCCAAGCGGUUCCUUUCCCUAAACACGGGAGUUCGAUGGACGGUUCGCGCCUCGCUAGGACGAGCUGGCCACGUGGAGUUUUCCGGGUUUUCUCCACGUCUGUAAUGCCUGAAUAGGGGCCAGUUACUCUUAAAAGACCUCCCGGAAGGCAUAAUUGUUUACGUAUAAACAGUGGUAAGUUGUGAUGUCACAUCGUACGUCACAACUUUUUAAAACGU